rnacentral:rRNA from 1 species
GACGAACGCUGGCGGCGUGCUUAAUACAUGCAAGUCGAACGGAAAGGCCCUGCUUGCAGGGUGCUCGAGUGGCGAACGGGUGAGUAACACGUGGGUGAUCUGCCCCUUACUUUGGGAUAAGCCUGGGAAACUGGGUCUAAUACUGGAUAGGACCAUGCUGUAGGUGGUGUGGUGGAAAGAUUAGUUUCGGUAAGGGAUGAGCUCGCGGCCUAUCAGCUUGUUGGUGGGGUAAUGGCCUACCAAGGCGUCGACGGGUAGCCGGCCUGAGAGGGUGGACGGCCACAUUGGGACUGAGAUACGGCCCAGACUCCUACGGGAGGCAGCAGUGGGGAAUAUUGCACAAUGGGCGCAAGCCUGAUGCAGCGACGCCGCGUGGGGGAUGACGGCCUUCGGGUUGUAAACUCCUUUCAGCCAUGACGAAGCCUUCGGGUGACGGUAGUGGUAGAAGAAGCACCGGCUAACUACGUG